UAAAAUCGUGUCGGUGGAUCAUUCGGUUCAUAGGUCGAUGAAG
rnacentral:rRNA from 1 species